CCGGGCGUAGCUCAGUUGGUAGAGCGAUUGACUUGUAGUGGUUGAUAUCGUCCUGCGAUAUCCUCAGAAAUCAAUUGGUCACCAGUUCGAUUCUGGUCGCCCGGA
rnacentral:tRNA from 1 species